rnacentral:rRNA from 1 species
UUGAACAUGAGAGUUUGAUCCUGGCUCAGAACGAACGCUGGCGGCAGGCCUAACACAUGCAAGUCGUACGAGAAGGUUCUUUCGGGAACUGGAGAGUGGCGCACGGGUGAGUAACGCGUGGGGACCUACCUCUUAGUGGGGGAUAACGGUUGGAAACGACCGCUAAUACCGCAUA